rfam:Ixodes scapularis strain Wikel colony gcontig_1107729140204, whole genome shotgun sequence.
ACCGGGAAACGUCGAUACAAUAAACAGGACAACAGCCCACAACAACAUCCCACUGAGUGGGAUGUUGUUGUGGGCUGUUGUCCUGUUUAU